GACGAACGCUGGCGGCGUGCUUAACACAUGCAAGUCGAACGGAAAGGCCCUGCUUGCAGGGUACUCGAGUGGCGAACGGGUGAGUAACACGUGGGUGAUCUGCCCUGCACUUCGGGAUAAGCCUGGGAAACUGGGUCUAAUACCGGAUAGGAGCCAUUUUUAGUGUGAUGGUUGGAAAGUUUUUUCGGUGUAGGAUGAGCUCGCGGCCUAUCAGCUUGUUGGUGGGGUAAUGGCCUACCAAGGCGGCGACGGGUAGCCGGCCUGAGAGGGGGGACGGCCACAUUGGGACUGAGAUACGGCCCAGACUCCUACGGGAGGCAGCAGUGGGGAAUAUUGCACAAUGGGCGCAAGCCUGAUGCAGCGACGCCGCGGGGGGGAGGACGGCCUUCGGGUUGUAAACUCCUUUCGCUAGGGACGAAGCUUUGUGUGACGGUACCUAGAUAAGAAGCACCGGCUAACUACGUG
rnacentral:rRNA from 1 species